rnacentral:rRNA from 1 species
GUGAAAUUCCGUCGGAAUCUGGGAGGACCAUCUCCUAAGGCUAAAUACUCUCUAGUGACCGAUAGUGAACCAGUACCGUGAGGGAAAGGUGAAAAGCACCCCGGAAGGGGAGUGAAAUAGAACCUGAAACCGUGUGCUUACAAGUAGUCAGAGCCCGUUAAUGGGUGAUGGCGUGCCUUUUGUAGAAUGAACCGGCGAGUUACGAUUUGAUGCAAGGUUAAGCAGUAAAUGUGGAGCCGUAGCGAAAGCGAGUCUGAAUAGGGCGUUUAGUAUUUGGUCGUAGACCCGAAACCAGGUGAUCUACCCUUGGUCAGGUUGAAGUUCAGGUAACACUGAAUGGAGGACCGAACCGACUUACGUUGAAAAGUGAGCGGAUGAACUGAGGGUAGCGGAGAAAUUCCAAUCGAACCUGGAGAUAGCUGGUUCUCUCCGAAAUAGCUUUAGGGCUAGCCUCAAGUGAUGAUUAUUGGAGGUAGAGCACUGUUUGGACGAGGGGCCCCUCUCGGGUUACCGAAUUCAGACAAACUCCGAAUGCCAAUUAAUUUAACUUGGGAGUCAGAACAUGGGUGAUAAGGUCCAUGUUCGAAAGGGAAACAGCCCAGACCACCAGCUAAGGUCCCAAAAUAUAUGUUAAGUGGAAAAGGAUGUGGCGUUGCCCAGACAACUAGGAUGUUGGCUUAGAAGCAGCCAUCAUUUAAAGAGUGCGUAAUA